UGGGGAAUUUUGGACAAUGGGCGCAAGCCUGAUCCAGCAAUGCCGCGUGCAGGAUGAAGGCCUUCGGGUUGUAAACUGCUUUUGUACGGAGCGAAAAGGUCUGCCAUAAUACGGUGGGCUCAUGACGGUACUGUAAGAAUAAGCACCGGUUAACUACGUGCCAGUAGCCGUGGUAAUACGUAGGGUGCGAGCGUUAAUCGGAAUUACUGGGCGUAAAGCGUGCGCAGGCGGUUAUAUAAGACAGAGGUGAAAUCCCGGAGCUCAACCGUGGAACUGCCAUUGUGACUGCAUAGCUAGAGUACGGUAGAGGGGGAUGGAAUUCCGCGUGUAGCAGUGAAAUGCAUAGAUAUGCGGAGGAACACCGAUAGCGAAGGCAAUCCCCUAGACCUGUACUGACGCUCAUGCACGAAAGCGUGGGGAGCAAACA
rnacentral:rRNA from 1 species